ACGCCAUCCGGUAUGUUAUGGCCCCGGUGUCGGGCCUGUAGUGUGGACAUCCUGAGCGUUUCGCUAUUUCACCAUCACCAAAAACAGUUACGGAGACGAGGGUAUAGAGUUCUCUGAAAGAUCGAAAAAAUAAUUUAUAUAUUAUAUAAAUUAUUAAAAUAAAAACAACUAUAAAAAAGAAGACACACGAUAUUAUAAUAUAGGCACGGGGGUCGUACUUACGCGUUGCUGGGAUCGUGUCUGCGAGUCGCCAUGUACGGUUUGAUGACUAAACACCGGUGUGUGCUUUCGUGCGUGUGCGCGAAGAGGGGGGCAGCUUUUUGGGUUAUCUGCACACACGACCGCCGCCGACCCUAUAUUGUGCGAAACACAUUUGUUAAACACCGGCUGUAUUUAAACAGUGCAAUACCUGCCUAUAUAACUGUAUAAUAUUAUACGGAAAAUAUUAUAAUAGUAAUACAUUAUAUAUUUUAGUCGUAUACACA